AAAUGCGAUAAGUAAUGUGAAUUGCAGAAUUCAGUGAAUCAUCGAAUCUUUGAACGCACCUUGCGCUCCUUGGUAUUCCGAGGAGCAUGCCUGUUUGAGUGUCAUGGAAUUCUCAACUCUAUUUGCUUUUGUGAAUAGAGCUUGGAUUUGGAGGUUUAUUGCUGGUACUUGUGAUCGGCUCCUCUUGAAUGCAUUAGCUCGAACCUUUGCGGAUCAGCUAUCGGUGUGAUAAUUGUCUACGCCGUUGCAGUGAAGCAUAUCAAUGGGCUCGGCUUCCAAUCGUCCUUUACUGGACAAUGACUUUGCCCUUUGACCUCAAAUCAGGUAGGAUUACCCGCUGAACUUAAGC
rnacentral:misc_RNA from 1 species